CCUCCUUCACCCUUCUUCACCUUCUCUGUCCACGUGAGGCAGCCAUGGAGCAGCACCAACCGUCAAGCAUCCUCCACCGGGCAGAAGCCAUCGCAUUACGUUUUCGGUGUGGGCGGCAUUAUCAGCACCACCGACACCACCUUCUUCACCUUCCAAAAACGUGUGAGUUUUCUUUCUCCUCUUCCCCAUUUUCUCUACUUGGAUCGACAGAAGUCGGGCCUCUAUUUUCAAUCAUGGCCAUGACCAGGGUGACAGCAUCAGCGCCGGAUUAAGAGCUUCACCGUUGUCGAUUUUGGGGCCGAUCUGACUCUAGACCAAUUGCAUUGUUUCAAAAUCUCAGGGAGAAUGGUUGAAAAUGGACUGAAAAUGAAGGCCAACGUGGAGGUGGAGUGAAGAGUGGUAAUAUGCAGAAUAGUCUAUAUUGUGGUGGAAGAAGAUGCAGAAUGAGUUCUUUGUUUUGUAUUAUGAGGGGUGAGAUUGAAGAAGAAGACAAGUCUUGUGUGUGUUGCGCGUGUGCAAUUACGCUCCUCCAAACAUUUUUUGAACAAAAACCUUUUCAAAAUUACCUUUUUUUUUCCAUGAAUUACUCUCCUCGCACUCUCUCAUCCUCGUUGGAAGAAAAAAAAAAUUGGGAUUGUUCCAGAAUCCACCGCACAACACCUGGAAAGGAAGAAAAAUUGUUGGUGGGUUUAAUUUUGGAGCAUCUUAAGUGUGUUUUAGGGAAUAAGAAAAAGUGAGAAGUUGGAUCCCUGAGAAGAUGUAUUCUAUUAUGCAAAGUUCGGGUAUGGAGGUGAGCAAGAUGACUAUGAAUGGAGGUGAAAGCUAGAUGGAAGUUGUUAGAAAGGUUCUCCACGCACCUCUCAAAAGUUUCUGGCUACCUUUGCACCUCCAACUUUUCAAAAUAUCAUAAUUUUAACCUUCAGACCCACGAAAGUAGUGCAUCGAUACUCUCUUUUCCUCCGGCCUCGCUUUCACUGAUCUCCUUACACUGUCACUGCACUCUUUCCCUUACGCGGUGGUUGUCGUUAUUUAUGUCCUCGUCUUGCUGGUUCACCAUUGUCAUUCGUUUUUUUGGGUACACCUAUUCUUUAUCAUUGGUUUUCGACAGUCGUUCCUGCAGAGGUGGUCCUAGCGUCUUGGUGUGGACUUGGUUCAUAGUGGUCUCAAUGGUUGCUUGAUCGUUGUCCGUUGGUUCAUCAAAGGAGGAAGAGGUUGAAAACAAACGUUUGAGGUAAGAGUAGUGGAAGAAACAUCGUAAUGCGAAAUAUGACGGGUCCGCAUUCGAUUACCCAUCGAGCCUUUAAUCGUAUCUUGAAUUGCGUCCUUGAAAGUGGUUUUCCUCAUGCAUUCUCAUUUCUAUUUUUGAGGCGCUUUAAUCGAUGGUUGUGGAGGUUAUUAUUCUAUGUGAGGUUUUAGCAUCCGCUCCCAAUCGGUGGUCAUGGAGGUUAUUGUUGGUGUGAGUGUUUAGUUUUGCCGCUCCCAAUCAGUGGUUGUGCAUGUUUCUGGUAGUUUUGAAGUUGAAGGUUUUUGCAUCUUUGCGUCUCUCGUAAGUGGCUUUGAAGUAGAGGUUUUGUAUUUUUAUCGGUCCUAAUUUUAUCCUUUUGAGUAGUUGUUUUGGUCGAAAUGGAAUGCUAUUUUUUGUAGUGAUUGUUGGUUUGAACCGUGUUGGAAGUUUACAAUUUCAUCUUA